UCCUGGUUAACCCAGGCAGUCUCGUUAGAGUUCCCGCCAUUACGCGCUGGCAACUAACGAUAAGGGUUGCGCUCGUUGCUGGACUUAACCAAACACCUCACGGCACGAGCUGACGACAGCCAUGCAGCACCUAUAUAGAGACCCUUACGGGAAACACUAUCUCUAGUGUCGUCCUCUACAUUUCGAGCCCAGGUAAGGUUCUUCGUGUUGCAUCGAAUUAAACCACAUGCUCCACUGCUUGUGCGGGCCCCCGUCAAUUCUUUUGAGUUUCACCCUUGCGAGCGUACUCCCCAGGCGGCAUACUUAAUGCGUUAGCUUCGAUACAGGAGGGGUUGAGCCCACCUACAUCUAGUAUGCAUCGUUUAAGGCUAGGACUAC
rnacentral:misc_RNA from 1 species